GGAUGCACCCCUCUGUCGAUUGCAUCACAUUGGAGCUCCUCCUCUUACAUUGUCUGGUAGGGGCCUGGCAAGGAAGUGUUAACACGAGAAAUGGAGAUCUCCUAUUCCUGACUCCCUCCUGGAACCAGCACGUCACUCCAGGCCCCCAGAGGCAUUGGCCCUCCUGUGAAUUCAACCAAGCGUGGUGUCCCAUAGCAAAUAUGGAAAACGCCUGGAAAAAGCCACCAGAUGGUGCUUCUCCAUGCCAAAUGAAGCUUCUACUUAAAGGGCAGCUGGGAAGCCUCCCGCCUUUUGUUCACAUCCCACUCCUUGUUUUCCUGCAUGAAGGUAAGAAGCCAGGUGUGGUUCCCGUGUCUGCUCUCCGCAGCCCUCCUGGGAGGGUUUGAAGAGACAGCUGAGAGCGGCCAGCUGGGAAGAGCACGCUUGCCUUGUCAGCGGAGAGUAGGUUCUGAGCUCUGCUGAGUCAGCGUGGCCAGGCAGGGCUGGGGGGCCUCAGGGCUCCAGGCCCCACCUCUUACCUCUACAGUCUCCCACCCCGGCUGCCUGCCCCAGCCGGUCAAAAUGCCAGGUAACCCCCGGUGGAGAUAGGCACCUGUGAGAAGUAUCACUGCUUCGUGGGUCAGGGGCUUGGACCCACCAGGGCUGUGUCACCUGCGGACCAUGUGAACUCAACUCCCACCCCCCGGCCCCUGCCCAGCCUCCCCUACCAGGCUCGAUGUAAAGUGAUGGUGAAGUGAAAACAGAUUUGGGGCCCUUGCCACCUCUUUCUGGUUGGUAACUUUGUUUCUUGGACAACAAUGCAGAGUUUGAAGCCCAUCCAGGGACAACAUUCCAUCUGCCCCCUGCAAGUUCCGGUGCGGUCUUCGCUAAGAGGCCAAGCAAGAUGAUGUAAUCACCUGAUGAGUUCCUCCUGCCCACUGCACAGACAAAACCAAUUCACUGAGACGACGGCAUUGCAAUAAAGAAAGAGCUUAAUUGACACAAGGUUGGCCACUCCUGUCUCAAAUCAAAUCAAUCUGAAAAUUUGGAGGCUAGGGUUUUUAAAGGAUACUUUGGUGGGCAGGGGGCUGGGGAAUGGGGGCUGCUGAUUGGUUGGGGAUGCAAUCACAGGGUUGUGGAAAUUGGUCCUUGUGCACCAAGUCCACUUCUGGGCGGGCUCCCCAGGACCGGCUGAGCCAAGAGUUGAAGGUCUGGGUGGGGCCAUCCGGUCAUCAGAAAUGCAGGUAAAGACAUCUCAAAAGGCCAAUCUUAGGUUCCACAAUAGUGAAUUGGGACAGUUGCAAAUCUUGUAUCCUCUGGAAUAAUGGCUGGUUGUCAUUUAACUAUGCCUGCGUCUUAGCGAAAUUUAGGCCCCUCUCAUCCUCCUAACCUGGUGGCCUUUCUUUUCUUUUCAUUUUUUUUUAAGAAACAGGUUCUUACUCUGUCCCCCAGGCAGGAAUGCAGUGGUGUGAUCGUGGCUCACUGCAGCUUAAAACUCCUGGGCUCAAGUGAUCCUCCCACUU
rnacentral:lncRNA from 1 species